rnacentral:rRNA from 1 species
GCCGCGAAUCGCCCUUGGGGUGCAGCAGGCGCGAAAACUUUACAAUGCCGGCAACGGCGAUAAGGGAACCUCGAGUGCCAGGUUACAAAUCUGGCUGUCGUGAUGCCUAAAAAGCAUUGCAUAGCAAGGGCCGGGCAAGACCGGUGCCAGCCGCCGCGGUAACACCGGCGGCUCGAGUGGUAACCGUUAUUAUUGGGUCUAAAGGGUCUGUAGCCGGCCGGGUAAGUCUCUUGGGAAAUCUGGCAGCUUAACUGUCAGGCUUUCAGGAGAUACUGCCUGGCUCGAGGCCGGGAGAGGUGAGAGGUACUUCAGGGGUAGGGGUGAAAUCUUGUAAUCCUUGAAGGACCACCAGUGGCGAAGGCGUCUCACCAGAACGGACCUGACGGCAAGGGACGAAAGCUAGGGGCACGAACCGGAUUAGAUACCCGGGUAGUCCUAGCCGUAAACGAUACUCGCUAGGUGUCGACCACGGUGCGACCGUGGUCGGUGCCGUAGGGAAGCCGUGAAGCGAGCCACCUGGGAAGUACGGCCGCAAGGCUGAAACUUAAAGGAAUUGGCGGGGGAGCAC